rnacentral:rRNA from 1 species
UGGGGAAUCUUGCACAAUGGGGGAAACCCUGAUGCAGCGACGCCGCGUGAACGAUGAAGCCCUUCGGGGUGUAAAGUUCUUUCGACAGGAACGAUAAUGACGGUACCUGGAGAAGAAGCUGCGGCUAACUACGUGCCAGCAGCCGCGGUAAUACGUAGGCAGCGAGCGUUGUUCGGAGUUACUGGGCGUAAAGGGUGUGUAGGCGGUUCUCUAAGUUUGGUGUGAAAUCUCCCGGCUUAACCGGGGGGGUGCGCCGAAAACUGGGGAGCUAGAGUGCGGGAAGGGAGAGUGGAAUUCCUGGUGUAGCGGUGAAAUGCGUAGAUAUCAGGAGGAACACCGGUGGUGCAGACGGCUCUCUGGACCGUAACUGACGCUGAGACACGAAAGCGUGGGUAGCAAACA